rnacentral:lncRNA from 1 species
CUGAAAACAGCCCCUAUAAUAGCGCGGGGGAGGAAACCAAACAGUUAAUAUAUCACAGAAUUAGCCAAAGGACGGAGGCUCAGCCACACACAGACCGAAAUAAGGAGAUCAAGCAAAUCCUGGGGGAAAAAAAUGAAACCGUGAAGGACUGGGUGAAUUUUCUCCUAAUUGUGAUCCUGGAGGACCUCAAGCCCCCAAGCGCACUCGCCUUGUGGACAUCACAACGCCUUCCUUGAGGAAAUAGGGACAUUAUAGGAAAAGCAACUUUUUACAGGACUAUAUAAAGCCGGAACGUGCUAGAACAGACAUUUGCAUAGACCCUACAGAUAAUAGCUUGAGGUAAGAAACAUUACAUAUGAGCUCUACCGCAAAGGAUGCAUAUUGACCGCUAGACUAGGGGGUACAAGCAGAAAAACGGUGCCACGAACACAGAGACCAAACACAGGACGAACAGAAAUCCCACCGAAGAGCAUUUGUAAAGCAAUCCGAAAGAGCAUAUUGCAUAUAUUUGGGGUUUUUUGGGGGUGAUUUUCUUAGCACACAUUGACURGGGACAACCCUCCGGUGCUGCUGGUGACUCGUCUUUUGUGUUUUGGGGACGGCGAGGUUUUCGCUCGGUGGAAGUGACCCUCGCUGGGGGAAGGAGAGCGAAACGGGG